CCGCCUGCGUUCGCCACCAUGCGAUCGACUUCCUCCCUCAGCUCCUUUUCUCUACGCUCUGUCAGGCUGCAACAUCCUAAGUUUCUAUUUUCUAUCUUGGCUCCACUGGCAGUAGUAGGAUGCUCAUUGGCAACCCAAGGUGUGUAUGCCCCUACUUCCCCAAGAUGUAUGCUGCUGUGAGGCAUGUAGCACCACUUCUCCUGACUGCUAUAAUCAGUGGAAGAUCUCAUGACAUGAUAGGCGUCAUGGUCUCAUGGAAUGGACAUCAUGGGGCUUAUUAGGAACUCUGGGUUCAGCGGGCACCAUGCCGAAAGAGGUCAAUCUCUUCCAAUACACAAUCGCUAAGGUAUGUAUCAAUGUCUAAAGGUUAAAAAAGACCCAGGUUACACCAUAUGGUUUAGGUUGCUC